rnacentral:rRNA from 1 species
UACGGGGGGGGGGCAAGCGUUGUUCGGAAUUACUGGGCGUAAAGGGCUCGUAGGGGGCCAACUAAGUCAGACGUGAAAUCCCUCGGCUUAACCGGGGAACUGCGUCUGAUACUGGAUGGCUUGAGUUCGGGAGAGGGAUGCGGAAUUCCAGGUGUAGCGGUGAAAUGCGUAGAUAUCAGGAGGAACACCGAUGGCGAAGGCAGGUCUCUGGGCUGACACUGACGCUCAUGCACGAAAGCGUGGGGAGCAAACAGG